GACAGAGGAUGCAAGCGUUAUCCGGAAUGAUUGGGCGUAAAGCGUCUGUAGGUGGCUUUUUAAGUCUGCCGUCAAAUCCCAGGGCUUAACCCUGGACAGGCGGUGAAAACUACCAAGCUGGAGUACGGUAGGGGCAGAGGGAAUUUCCGGUGGAGCGGUGAAAUGCGUAGAGAUCGGAAAGAACACCAACGGCGAAGGCACUCUGCUGGGCCGACACUGACACUGAGAGACGAAAGCUAGGGGAGCAAAUGGG
rnacentral:rRNA from 1 species